rnacentral:rRNA from 1 species
CCGCCGGGGGUCCUCCGGGACCCGGUGUCCGGGUCCCCGCUCGGCAUUCCCGCCGCGGUUCGUCCGCGCGCGGGAGAGCGGGCCCGAUCGGGCUCACCGGCGGCGCGGUGAGGCACCGCGCCUCGCCCGGCCUCGGCCGGGAGACCGUCCGCCAAUCUUCCCGCUGCGGUGCUCUUCAUCGAGUGUCGCUGCGGGCCGGCACACUUACCUUGAACAAAUUAGAGUGCUCAUCGCGAGGCGUUCAAAAAACGUCCGAAAGGGCGUGGCCCGCAUACAGGUGCAUGGGAUAACAGAAUACGACCUCGGCUCCGGGGUUUCGUCGGUUCACCGGGCCCGCCGACGACCCGGAAGCGUCGGACACCCGCCUUCGGGCGGGCACCGGCGUCUGACGGCGCGGCGGGUCUUUGCGGGGUCCGAGGUAAUGAUCGAUAGGGGCGGACGGGGGCAUCCGUAUUGCGACGUUAGAGGUGAAAUUCUUGGAUCGUCGCAAGACGAACAGCUGCGAAGGCGCUUGUCAAGCACGUUCCCGUUGAUCAAGAACGAAAGUCAGAGGUUCGAAGGCGAUCAGAUACCGCCCUAGUUCUGACCGUAAACUAUGCCAGCUAGCGAUCCGCCGACGAUCCCUCCGUUAUGGCUCGGCGGGCCGCUUCCGGGAAACCAAAGCUAACGGGUUCCGGGGGAAGUAUGGUUGCAAAACUGGAACUUAAAGGAAUUGACGGAAGGGCACCACCAGGAGUGGAGCCUGCGGCUUAAUUUGACCCAACACGGGAAACCUCACCAGGCCCGGACACCGGAAGGAUUGACAGAUUGAGAGUUCUUUCUCGAUUCGGUGGGUGGUGGUGCAUGGCCGUUCUUAGUUGGUGGAGUGAUUUGUCUGGUUAAUUCCGAUAACGAACGAGACCCCGUCCUGCUAGUUAGGCGAUCCGGGCGCCUCCCGCUCUGGGGCGGCGGUUCGUUCGCGGGCCGUCGUUCCUGGACGUGGGGCUCUAAGCCCGGGACCCGGUAUCGUGAUCCGCACCCCGUCCGCCUCUCGGGGCGAGACCCCGUCGGGGCGGCCGUCGGCGCGGUUCGCGCCGUUGUCGGCGGUCGUUUACCGGCGGGAGCAGUGGGUCGGAGGGCCCGGUCCUCUCGGGGGCCGGACACGCUCGCUACCGGCGGAAUUUUACUCAGCUUCUUAGAGGGACAAACGGCGCAGUCAGCCGUGCGAUACGGAGCGAUAACAGGUCUGUGAUGCCCUUAGAUGUCCUGGGCGGCACGCGUGCUACAAUGGACGGAUCAGCGUGUUCUACCCUACGUCGAGAGACACCGGUAACCCCCUGAAUCCCGUCCGUGGAAGGGACCGGGGCUUGCAAUUGUUCCCCGCGAACGAGGAAUUCCCAGUAGUCGCGAGUCAUAACCUCGCGGCGAUUAAGUCCCUGCCCUUUGUACACACCGCCCGUCGCUACUACCGAUCGAGCGGUUCGGCGAGGACCUCCUACCGGCUCGCCGGCGAUCCGCUUCGUGCGGGGCCGCCGGUGCAGCAUGCGGUUUUGUGCCGCGGAAAGUCGACCGAGCCCGAUCGUUUAGAGGAAGUAAAAGUCGUAACAAGGUUUCCGUAGGUGAACCUGCGGAAG